rnacentral:misc_RNA from 1 species
CUUCCUUCUAAUUCACUUUGGCCGAAACAAAAGCUUCCAAAGUCCAUUCAUGGCCGCCUCACUUCACAAGCUCUAAACACCAUGAUCAAGCCAUCAUUUCCAUAACUUGUCUUCAUUAAAGUUGAUCUCCACCUUGCAAGAAAGAAGUUGGUAGUAAAUUCAAGAAGUUUUGGUGAAGUUUGGUCAAGCUCCAAAAGAGGUAAGUGCUUGUUUUCAAUUCUUGCUUCACUAAAGUUGUAGUAGAGGUUAUGGGAAGU